rnacentral:piRNA from 1 species
GACUUGGAUAAGUUUCACAUAGCGGGUACC